UGCGCAGGUGGGAAUGUAAGUCAGUGGUGAAAUACUGCCGCUUAACGGUAGAACUGCCAUUGAUACUGCAUUUCUUGAGUAUGGUUGAGGUAGGUGGAAUGUGUUGUGUAGCGGUGAAAUGCAUAGAUAUGACACAGAACGCCGAUUGCGAAGGCAACUUACUAAGCCAUUACUGACGCUGAGGCACGAAAGCGUGGGGAGCGAACAGGAUUAGAUACCCUGGUAGUCC
rnacentral:rRNA from 1 species